GCACAAGCGGUGGAGCAUGUGGUUAAUUCGAUGCAACGCGAAGAACCUUACCUGGGCUUGACAUCCCGAGAAUCCCCUGGAAACAGGGGAGUGCCUUUCGGGGAACUCGGAGACAGGUGCUGCAUGGCUGUCGUCAGCUCGUGCCGUGAGAUGUUGGGUUAAGUCCCGCAACGAGCGCAACCCUUGUCUUUAAUUGCCAGCAUUCAGUUGGGCACUUUAAAGAGACUGCCGGUGUUAAACCGGAGGAAGGUGGGAUGACGUCAAGUCCUCAUGGCCUUUAUGCCCAGGGCUACACACGUGCUACAAUGGGUGGUACAAAGAGAUGCAAUCUCGCAAGAGCAAGCAAACCUCAAAAAGCCAUCCUCAGUUCGGAUUGGAGUCUGCAACUCGACUCCAUGAAGUCGGAAUCGCUAGUAAUCGCGGAUCAGCACGCCGCGGUGAAUACGUUCCCGGGCCUU
rnacentral:rRNA from 1 species